GCACAACGCGAAGAACCUUACCAGCCCUUGACAUGGACACCGCCGGGAGCAGAGACGUUCCCUUCGGUUCGGCCGGGUGUCACACAGGUGCUGCAUGGCUGUCGUCAGCUCGUGUCGUGAGAUGUUGGGUUAAGUCCCGCAACGAGCGCAACCCUCGCCCUUAGUUGCCAUCAUUGAGUUGGGCACUCUAGGGGAACUGCCGGUGACAAGCCGGAGGAAGGCGGGGAUGACGUCAAGUCCUCAUGGCCCUUACGGGCUGGGCUACACACGUGCUACAAUGGCGGUGACAGUGGGCAGCGAUCCCGCGAGGGUGAGCUAAUCCCCAAAAGCCGUCUCAGUUCGGAUUGCACUCUGCAACUCGGGUGCAUGAAGGCGGAAUCGCUAGUAAUCGCGGAUCAGCACGCCGCGGUGAAUACGUUCCCGGGUCUUGUACACACCG
rnacentral:rRNA from 1 species